UGGAUAAAAUUCUACAUAUAUGUUGGUGUAAAUACAUGCUUUCAAAGCAGAAGAUUCUCAAUUUGAAUUCAAAUUUUUAUUAUCUUAAGAUUUUAAUAUGUUAAUGUUUACUACUAUUUAAAAAGGCUCUAGAGCUAGAGUUUUAUUUUUGAAACAUAAAAUUGUAUUUUUUUUAAUAUAAAUUUUUAUAUCUUUAUUCAAAAGUUCACACAUGGUUAAUUGGUUACAUCCAAAUUAUCAUGUUAUUCAAAAAAUCGAUUUAAUAGUAAAUAAAACUAAAAAUAAUUGUCACGAGUAGUAGAAUAUUUUAUUAAAGGGCAAUUGCUUAUAUAUUUCUGAAAAGUUUCCGACUUUCUGAUUUACCUCUCGUAGAAGGCUAAUAUUGAAAAUAUCUUUUCACGUUCCAACCCAUUUCAAAUAUAUUCUUAGAGUUAAAUUUUAUUAAUAAAUUAUUUGCAAUACAAUAUACCCUUCCAUCAUUAUCGACUUUUUUUAAUUUUUGAUCUUUUCAAAUAUACUCUUCUAUCAACACCAACAUUUCUCAUUUAUUCUUAAGUUAAGAAUAAAAGAGGUAUUUUAAUUUUUUUUUAAAUUUAAUAGAUGUUUAAUUCAUGUUUAAUUCAAAUUAACUUAGCGGGUUGUAAUCAUAGGAAUAUUUUACAAUAACAGACAAACAUACAAGAGAUGUAUUAAAAAGAAAAAAAAAAUAUAAGAUAUUUUUGAAAAUUUGGAAGGUGUAUAAAAAUACGGUGGAAAAUAAAAUAAAGAGAGGGAAAAUAAGAUUUGUGAG
rnacentral:lncRNA from 1 species